AUGUUGGGACAGAUGAGGCUAGCCCCUUGGUGGUAUUUCCACCCUAGGAAGAUGGAGGCUGAGCAGAAGGCCUUAGGGACACUGAAGAAAGAAGUGGGCAACCUACACCCCUUAUUCUUGGGCCCUCAUGGGGCAUACCAGCCCCUUGUGGAUUCCAAAGAAUUCCCAGUCAAAACAGUGACACCAAAGCCAAGGCCCAACUCUCACUACCCUCACAGCUCUACUGGCCUGAUCCAGGCUCCCACCUCCCUUUGCCCCCUGUCUAUUUCAAGUGCCAAGGCAAAAGAGUACAUCCAGCUCUUCUGGGGUCUCCCUUCUCUUCACAGUGAAUCCUUGGGGGUCACAUUCCCAAAGUCCCAAAGUGGUCCCACUGGGACCACUAAUCAACAUCCACCCUCUGACACUCCUCUUAUCUUCUUCAAUGAGCUUUCUUACCUCCCCUUGCCCAACCUAUUGGUUAAAACUGUGUCUCUUCCUCCCCCACACCUCCCCUCAAUCUCUCCCCUCCCGGUCUUGCAUGGAAACUGUGAGGCUACAGAAAUGGCAUCCACUGAGCUCCCAAAUGAACCAGAAAUCCCAUGGCAGGCCUCUGAGCCCCAAAACCCAAUCCUACCUUUACUAUCUGCCUCACAUUCCCCAGUGAAGCCUCAAGAAGCUGAAUUCAUGGAAGUCACAAAAGUGAUGGCUUCAGAUGAACAUGAGGUCCCCGGGCCUCAGGAGGUGCAACCUAGUGAACUACCCUGGACCCCUGAAUCUCUAGUCCAGACCCCCAGCCCACCCUCAGUCCCCCUUCCUAUACCCCAAGAUCCAGUGGAAGACCCCAAAGUGACAGGCUCUGAGGCUCUGUUGGAGGACCAAUGGCAGAACCAGUUUCCCCAGGACCCUGACCCCUCAGCCCCAGCCCUCAAUGCAUCUCCACCAUGUCUGCUUGAGCCUCAGGGAGCUAGCCUCAUGGGAGCCUCACAUGGGAGUGAGACCGCCCCCCUCACUCUUCAUGGGCCCAAGGCCUCAUGCUAUAACACCCAGCAAAGUGAACUGCCCUGGGCUGCUGAGACUCCAGCCUCCUGCCUCAGCCUGCACACCUCACCUGAACCCCAAGGAACUGGCUUUACAGAAAAUCCCCUUGUGAUUCCUCAUGUACCUGAGGUCCCACGGUAUGCCAUGCAAGAGAAAGAACCUCCCUGGCCUACUGGGCCUCCAACUCCAGUGCUUAACAUGAACCCCCAGACUGAGCUGCAAGGAGCCAGCUCCAUAGAAGUACCAAAUGGGACAGCCUCAAGUUGGGACAGAACGCAGACCCAACCUCCUUGGACCUCAGUUCUGCAAUUCCCCCAGGCUGAACCUCAAGGAGCCAACUUUGAGGAAAGCCCUGUCCCUUUAGCUAGUCCUGAGCUCCCAGGAUGGGAAGUCCAGCAAAUACAUCAGCCCUGUACCCCAAGGCACAAUACCCCUCCCCUGGAGCAGACCUGGCCUACCACUUUGAGGGUGCCAGCUGAAACUCAAGAGGACAAGCACCACCCACCAGGAUCCCUCACAGGAGAUAUAGUCUCAAUGUCCAGGACAGUGACCUCCAUGCCCCAGGAGGACGGAGCAAUAGGAAAAGCACCUCUCCACCCCCAGGGGACCCUGAGCCUUGGAACUGAAGGGUGUCCCCGGAACAAAGAAUCCAGAAUUCAGAUUAAGAAAUACCAGUUUAACCCUGGUCCCCAUUCCCUAGCUCCCAGCCCCCCACUCCCUGGCCAAUUUUUACCUAGGAUCCCAAUUCAACAAGACCUGUGCCCCCUGGCUACCUCCUUCUACCCCUCAACUUGUCAGAUUCCAGCCCCCAACCCUACCUGCCAAGGGUCUGUAGGAGCCCUGUCCUCUAACUGUGCCCAUGUCCAAGCAAAGAAGGUUAUGUCUCAAGAUACUCAACCCCUACACUGCCAUCCUCCUGUGGCCCCUCAGCUACAGCUGCUGAAGCUUGCUAGAGACAGGCAGGGCCCUGCCAGGGAGGGGAGAGAAGUCCCCUUGAUGCCUCUCCAGACUCCUGACCUCCAGGCCAGCAAGGUCCCAGAGCCCCAGUCCCUGAGCCAGUACAACAAGAACAUGGCAGCCGCCAAAAUGCCACGUGCACCCAAGAGGGCAAGACAAGAAAGAUCUGGGGGGUCAGAGCCUCCAGACCCAGACAAGAGCCAAGCCAAGACCACACUCCCCAGCCGGAAGAGAGAACACUCUAGGAAAUCCAAAACUGGAGACCAGGGAGGAGGGGAUGCAGGAUGGGGAGUGUCCCCAUCCAAAGGAAAGAAUCACUCAUCAGAGGGCAAGAAGCUUUCAAGUCACUAUCCUGCAAGAAGGCCCUUAGUGUCACCACGUGAGAGGAACAGGAAUCUUUGUCAGACUGCUUCCCGUCCAGAGCUACCCCAGCCUUCUAAGGCUGAGAUUUCCCAAGUUCUGCCCUCACAGGGCCCUUCAAAGGGUCAGGGAGCAGGUGGUGGUGACAUCUUGGACUCCCGACACCAGCAGAACCGCCCCCAAGGGGGCCGAGGUCCAUGA
ensembl:lncRNA